AAGAGUGCCAGAUGUUAUGGGAUGGAUUUAGGAUCCUUUUAAGAUUAUUUUUAUCCUCUU
rnacentral:tRNA from 1 species